ACGUAGUUGUUGGACAAAGUCUAGUCUUAAUUCUCCUAACCACCAAAUAUAUUACUUGUUCCCACCAAACUUAUAGUAUGAUAUAUAUUUUUGCCAAGUAUAUUUGGUUUUGCCAAGUAUUGCCAAAUAUAUAUCAUACUUUAAGUUUGGUGGGAACAAGAAAUAUACUUGGUGGUUAGUAGAAUUAAGACUAGACUUUUUCAAACAACUACGU
rnacentral:pre_miRNA from 1 species